GCAGCAGCCACCAAUCAAACGUCCACCCUACGUACUAUCCAUGUAUAAGACAACCCCCACUUUUUAGCAUAAUUUUUAAAGAAAAAAUCUGGUCUUAUACAUGGAAAAGUACAGUAUCUUUCUGUCCAGGCUUUCCCUGACGGAUAAGCUUUUAUACUACCAUUUUACUGGGUUUUCUUAUGAGAGACUGCUGGAUAUAACCAUCAAGGACAGAGAUCAUGAAGCUGAAGUGAGAUGGUUGCUACUACCUCAAGGUGACACUUUCCUUCCGAGAGUCGCAUGCUUUCCAAUCAGAUACCUCAAUUGGCACCACCUAGAAUUAUUCCUGAGACCUCCAGUAGUGGCGCCUAGAAGCAGGUGGAAGAUCAUCUCGGUCAUAUACUCUACAAGGGAACAAAUACUGUAGUGUUUAUUGUAUUUAGAAACAGCAGGACCAGGGUUUUUCCUUGAUUCCAACCAGAAGCUGUUCAUAGAUGCGGGUGCCGGUUCAACUUCCUUAUCUUGAAGCUGCUCAGACAGUGCAUCCCCACCUUUCCAGUUAUCAAAUGUGAUGUAUUUUACAUAAACCAGAGAAAUGUGCCUGCAUUUUUUAUUUCCUGUGUACCCCCAAACUUCAUUAUUCUCUAUCAAUUUGCUCUAAUAGACCUUUUUGCGCAUAAGGAGGACUUGGAAAUUUAAGAAAUGAUACUACUAAGACACUUUACCUGUUUGCUACUCUUCCAGUAUGUUUUCUAGUGGACAUGCUUUUGCUUAAUUUGCUAACCCUCUUUUGGCGACUGAAUUGAGAAUUUGUCUUAAAUGCAUGAGCAUUGGUUGCCUGUUAGGCUCAGUGAAAUUUGCGUCCCUUAACUUAUUUUAGACGUGUGUGUGUGUGUGUGUGUGUAAGGAUGUCGUUCCCACCCAUGGGCGUAGCCAACGGGGUGCAGGGGGCAGCUGCUCCCCCCAAGAUCAAGUAAAACAAUAGAAAUACAUAACUGAGCAAUCACUUCAGUUCUGCCCCCCCCAACAAAAGUCCUGCUCCCUCCUAACAAAAAUCCCAUGUUACCACCCAAUGAAAGUCAGUGGCAAGGAUGCUUAUUUUAAGCGACUGGCACAUGGCCAUAGCCAGGAUUGGGGGGGGGCAAGCCUUUUGUUGGGGGGGGAGAACCUCAGUUUGUCAUGUAUUUUUAUUGAUUUUUUAGCUGCCUCUCCCUACCCCCUGGCUACUCCCAUGGACUGGGCCCAGAGCCAGAUUUAGGUUUGGUGAGGCCCUAAACUACUGAAGGUAACGGGGCCCUUUCUAUGUCCAGCUGUCCUUUGUCAACAACAAAUUGUCACUGUUUUUGUGUUGAAUAUAUGCUAUGUGGUAAUUUAUGGACCUAAUAGGUAUCUAAAGGUAUCUAAAGCCAUUGGC